AAUAUCUUUAACCUAGUCCAGAGAGGCUAGGAAGGUAUAAAAUAGCGGGAGUUGUGUGUAUAGCAUGGCUUAUCUAGUCAUGUCUGUUUGGCAUAAAUGUGAUUAUAACCUUCCUCGUCUCGAUGGGGAAGGUUUUAAUU
rfam:Caloranaerobacter azorensis H53214 contig62, whole genome shotgun sequence.